AUGGAGGUUUUUUGUGUGUGUCUUGAUUUUUAUUUACUGAACAAGUAAUACUAGAACAAGAAAAAUGAGACUGGAACACACAUAAGCCCACAACCUUUACAGACGUACCAUUGCACUGUGUAAUCGCAGUAGUAAUAGUAGCUAGCAUUUAUUGUACGUUUACUGUGUGUCAGGCACAAGCUGAAAACUUUAGGGGCAUUCUUUCCUUUAAUUCUCAUGAUAACUCUAUAAGGUAAUUAAUUUACUAUCCCAUUUUACAGAUGGAGAAUUUGCAACACAAAGAUUAAAUGGCUGUUUUACACACUUGUAACCAGAGCAUAAAGUCCACUUUGCAUUCAGCUUCUUUCACUUAGUACAAUGGCAUAUUUUCCAUGUUGAAUAGACCAUUCCAUUGUAUUCACGUAUCAGUUUUCUUCUCAUUAGAUAUUUAGAUCAUUUCCAUUUUCACAAUCAUAUUUAACAGAGCAAUGAUCAAUUUCAUUUAGUGCUUGUCUUGAAUUAUUUUUCUUAGAAUAGAGUCUCAAAAGUGAUCUUCCUCAGUCAAAAGGUGAAAUUGCCUAGCUUUGAUUUAUAACAUACUAGAACAAAAAGGUUUUUUUUUAAAAAAAAAACCCACAUUUCAUCCACUUUUUUCAAAACCAAAUCAUUCUCUGGACAGGUUUAUAUAGUCACACAUUUAAAGUAAGUUACUGUAAUUUAAAAAUUAUGGAGGUAUUUUUAUAUAAUUUAGUUCCAUUGCAAAACUCACUCCAGUGGAAAUUACCUUCCAGGCAGCCAACUUCUUCAAGAAAACUUCCCUGGUUUAUGAAGACAAAGAAGUUUCUGCCAUCUUCUAUGGAAGUCACCCCCAACAACAAGAGCAUGAGAACCAGAACCACAAGUCCAUUUUGGACAACACCAGAAGAUAUCUGUAACUCAGAACCCGCUUGUACAAGAGGGCAGUGGCAGGAAAGGUCAAACCAACUGCCCAAUUAAAGGCUCAGGAACCCACGGCCCCAGCAAUGGCUGAGGGUGAGCCAGAAAUGCAGGCUGCAAGCAAGGGAGGGAUGUGGGUCUGGGUAAGGGCCAGAGUCUUCCGAUCUAAUUGUCAAGAAGCUGGAGGGAAUUAUUCAGAGAAACUGAACAGAGAGCCUCCGGAUAUGCGGACGCCAAGUGCAGAGGAGGGCCAUGUACCAAACCAGACCCAGAGGACUGGGUGCAGGUCUGUAUCUUGAAUGGGGAAGCCUCUAGCCCCAGCCUGUGUAAAAUCAUGUUACUGAGUUUCCCUAAUUAGUUCAGCAGUGAGCCAAUAUUUCCAUGUCCUUAAUGAUGAAAACAUCAUAAUCCAUAAAUAGGAUUUAUUCAAAAGUUGCGAUACACAGUCAUGUGUCACAUAAUGACAUCUUGCUCAACAAUGGGCCACAUGCAUACAUGACAGUGGUCCCGUAAGGUUAUAUUGGAGCUGAAAAAUUCCUAUAGCCUAGUGACGUCUUGAUGAUUCUGACCCUGUGAAGGCCUAGGCUAGCAUGUGUGUCUGUGUCUUAGUUUUUAACAAAAAGUUAAAAAAUAUUUAAAUAGGAAAAACGUUAUAGAAUAAGGAUAUAAAGAAAAAAAUUUUUUGUACAGCUGUAUGAUGUGUUUAUGUCUUGAGCUAAGUGUUAUUGCAAGACUCAAAAAGUUUUAAAUGGUUUAAACGUUUAUAAAGUAUAAAAGUUAUAGUCAAGUCAAGGUUAAUUUGUUGUUGAAGAAAGAGAAAUAGUUUUUAUAAAUUUAGUGUAGCCCAAGUGUACAGUGUUUAUGAAGUCUACAGUAUUGUACAGUAAUGUUCUAGACCUUCCCAUUCACUCACUACUAGCUCCCGGACUCAUCCAGAGCAACUUCCAGUCCUGUAAGCUCCAUUCAUACUACAUACUCUACCAAGCUGUACCAUUUUUAAUCUUUUAUACAAUAUUUUUACUGUAGCUUUUCUAUGGUUAGUUAUGUUUAGAUACACAAACACCAUUGUGUUACAAUUGCCUAUACACAGUAUUCAGUAUAGUCACAUACUAUACAUGUUUGUAGCCUCAGAGCCAUAGGCCACACCAUACAGCCUAGGUGUGUGGUAGGUUCUACUAUUUGGGUUUAUGUAAGUGCCCUCUGUGAUGUUUGCACAGGGACAAAAUCACCUAACAACUCAUUUCUCAGAAAGUAUCCCUGUCAUUUAGUGGUGCAUGACUAAAUGGUGCAUAAUCAUAUUAGGAGGUUGAGUUUAAGAGAGGCAAGUUGUGAAGAGCUUUAUCUACCCACUUUAAUAGGAAAUUUUAGGCAAUGUGGAGAUAUUUGAAAAUAUGGAGGUAAAUAGAAGAUAUAAAAUGAAAGUUCCUGAAAGUGGUUGCCUCUAGGAACCAGGGAGAGGGAGGGGUGUUAUAUGUGUGGGGAUUGAUGUUUCUUGUUAUAAGCUUUUAAGCACUAAUUGACUUUUUAAUGAUGCAAGUGUGUUUCUUUGAUAAAAUUAAAAUUGAGGGAAAAGAGAAAAUUGCGUAAGCACUUCUCUACUACUUAAUUUAUGUACCUUAUGAAUUGGAUUUCCAUAAAUGGGUUUUGUCCAAGCAGGCUACUCGUGGAGAUUGCAGAUCAUAAAUAAGAAUUGCUGAUAUUAAGGAGGUAAUUAAUUGGCCAGUAGCCAAGGAGAGACCCUUCAUUCCUAAUAAAGGAGUCCAGGCUCCAGCUUGAAGAGUCAGGAUCUCUAUUGUGGGCUUCGUUCUUGCCAGGAUUUGAAGAGAAACCCUUUACUAAUCCACACUUUGCAACACAAUCCACCUGAUGAGUCACUGAUACUGUUGGUGAGAGCCUAAAUAAUCAUCAUUCCAACUAGAAGAAUGCUCGUGCUUGCUCUCUGUUGCCAUAGAAACAGUGCAGCUCCAGUCUCCCUGUUGCUUUGGUAACCCACCCCCCUUUCCUCACAUCACUACUGCUGGGGUAUUUUGCUGCCAAGAUAAUGGUCUCUAUUAUGGAUUGAAUGUUAAUGGGCAGUCCUUUACCCCAGACUACACCCAGCCCCUUCUGCAGCUCCACAUUUGAAGGCCUUGUCUAAGUGGCAUCUCAAUGAGAUGGUAAUAGAUACUUGAAUCAGAUGGAGAGGAGCUGUAGUGAUGGGGGUGGGAGGGGAUAGAAGAAGCGUUCAGCUUCUAAUCUUGAAAAGGGAGGACUCGGAACUUGGAGAGGCAAAAAUGAGGAAAUCAUCCAUUAGAGUGCCUCAGCUGUGUAUGAAGUCCUAAAGCCAUUUCUUCCAGUCAAUAAAAGGGCAUGGAAGUCAUCCAACAGCUGCUGGAGGGACUGUGCAGAGUUACGACGGAGACAGUGACUCCUCCAAAGGGGUCUCGAGGGGAUGCAUUGUGCUGGAGUCUCAAUCAAGUGCCUGGAAGCUGAACGUGAAAAACAGUGCUGCCUGGAUUACAGAGAUACUGGCCAUAAAUGCAUUCGUGGGCUCUCAAGAAGCAUUAGGGAUGCCAUGAAGGAGGGGCAUUUUUACUUUGUGUCCUACCAAAUUCACUUAAUUAUACAUAGCAAUGAGGAAAGUGUGGGAAACAGCAAAUCUGACCUUAGUGUGCCUUUGACUAAUCCAAGCUUAUUGUUUGUGAGUUAAUAUUGUGAAAUGAUCCCCUGUGCAUAUAAUGCAGUCAUCUUCAAAUAAAAAUCUGUGGCUUCAGACCUCUCUUCCUUCUUUGCUUCUUUUCUUCUCCCUUUCUUCCUUUCUUUUCUUCUUGCUCCUUCUUUCCCUUCUUCCACUCUCUCCCUCCCUUCCUUCUUGCUUUUCUCCCUCAUCUCUCUCUGUCUUUUAAAUCUUUCCAUUUUUAUUUCUGCAUAUGAUGCUGGGCUUCCUUCCCUGUGGCUCCCAAACUAGAAGAGCAUUUAUGAACCCCUGAUAUAAUGUAGGGCUUCCCAAAGUGGAGUGAUUGCAAGAUGAUCCAUUGCUGUCAAGAAUUAGAUAUUCUAGUUAUAUUUAUUGUAUCUACAAUAUGAAAAAUAAGAUUUUACAAAUAUAUAAUUAUAUUUUUACUAAUGCCACAAGUGCUAUAAGAUAGUGGCAUGAGAUCACAGAUGUUUGGGUUUGGAUUUCUUAGAUUUGAU
rnacentral:lncRNA from 1 species